UUGAUCGAUUCGAGACCGACUCAAAAAUGAGAGAGAGAGAGAGAGAGACGGCAUGGGUGUUAUCAAACGCAUUAAAUUAUCUCCGAAAUCAAAACUAGUUUUCGUAUUUUCUCUCUUCUUAUAUCGAUCCAGAUUAGUAAUAAGUGUUUUGAUCUCUUUCUGCAAAUCGUGAAUUCGCAUCAAAUCUCUCAUGGCAAUUUUAUUGAUGUUGAUCAGAAGUUUCCUUUUCUCGUUCGCCUGGAACCGAUCCCACUCUCGCUCGUCGUCGAGAAACAGAGAAUAAGAAGAAGAAGAAGAAGAAGAAGACUUUAAACAAAAUUCAAGCGAUGAAGCUUUCGGUGGAUGACAAGCAGUGUGAGUUAGAGCAGAUGACAGAACAUUACCUCAAAAGCAACCUGUGAGGAAAACAAGGGUGAUCUUUGUUUCACAUACGAGUUUUAUAACAUAAAUGUUCCUGAAGUUGUUUUGGGAUGGCAAAUAAAACCAAACGGAUUAUAAGUCUCAAGGCAAAAAAAGACUGUGCUUUACUACCCACGGCUUUGUUCAAAUAUGUUUGCAGUUAUUUGAAUGGAAUGGAGUUAAUGACCACGGUUUGAGAAUGUCUUAAGACAGAGACUACAAAUUGAAAACCGAUUCCUUACUGUACCAUCACGGACUAUGGAUCACUAAAACGACUUGUUGGAGGAAAAUGUAAUACGAUAGUUCUUUAGACGAAGACAAUGACAAUUAGCCAGUUUAAUGACUUGCUGGAUGGAAAUAAACGUCCAGCU